CUGAGACAUGCUGGACAAGAGACAGCAUGUAUGUACCUUCUCAUGUUGCUGCUGGCCUACGGGCUUCUUUGGUGGUCCAUUAAAGGCUAAGGGCAUGCUUUUAAAGGUGCUAGAAAGCACCAUGUGGGAGUUUUCACAGACCUGGACAAACAAGUAUCAGUGUGAUCUGAACACAGGAGUAAUUUUGCUAAGAUUAUCACUGUCAGCUUUCAUGAUGAAAGAACCAAAGAGAACUGAAGUACAACUCCUACGCUGCUGAAGCAGUCAGUCAUGUAGUGUGGAAAAAAAGAAAAAAGCACCUGCCACUGGUGGCUACCUCGUUUUUAUAUCCAGCUUCUGCGGUUUUCUCAAGUGUUGAACACUACAAGAAAUUCUCUUAGAGGAACAGAUGUGCUGGAGAGAAGCAAUAAAUACUUUCAAAUUUGAGAGAGGAGCAGUGAGAUAGUUGACGAGAGAUGCAGUAGGACUUCUCCCCUCAUACUCCUCACCCAGAGAAUAAUACAAUGAAGACUUCACAGUUUUAUAUUCUGACUUAACCCUUCAGAAGUGAAAUGCCACACAAAAACAGAAUGUGAUUGUCAAGAGAAAAGCCAGUCUGAAAGGAAAUAACGUGCUGACUGAUCUUUAGCCUUUUUGAGGUGUGUGGAAAACUUGGACAGAAGAAGCUCCACUUUAUAGGGAUAACUUCAGACACAGAAUCACAGUAUGGUAUGGGUUGGAAAACUUUGCUCCUUUUGAAGGCUUCGAUGGAUACGCGGUCACCUCAGUCCCCAGGGCUUGCACAGCUGCUGGAAGUAACUGAUGGAUGAGCACCUGUUAGAAAGUGGAUCUAUCUGCACGAAUAAUCCUGGAUGUUUAGAUUGUGGUUGGAAGUUGGAGCUAACAGGGCAUCACAAGGCUCUGACAUCGCUCUGCCUACUCAGGACUCCUGUUUUCUGAGAUACCUGUGGCACCUUUAUCACAACUUCACCUUACAGCAGCCACCCUGCACCCUCUGCCAGGGGCUACUGAAGACAUUUCACCUAUGACGGAAUGAGCUCCCUUUUAGGUACAGAAAGGUCACUGUCAGGUCUCCCCAAAGCCUUACCUUCGCCAGGCUGAACAGCCCCAGGAAUCUCAGCCUGCCCACAUAGGAGAGGUGUUCCAACUCUUGGAUUUCUUUUGUGGCUCUCCUCUGGAUGUGCUCCAACAGGUCUGUGUCUCUCCUGUAUUGAGGACUCCACAUCAGGAUGCAAUACUCCAGGUGGAUUGACCUAAGCCUGAGAACAUUAAGCUUCCCAUCCUUUCCAGAAGCAAAGUUCAUUCAGGCAUGAUUUAGGGUUAUUGAAGUAGUAAGAUCUGCUAGAAGACAAUGGAAGCAAAAAGAAGAAAUUAGAGCAGAAGAAAAUGAGGAACAGAGAAUGUGGAAAAAUUCCAGGAAUGAGAAAGAGACAGAAAACACAGAAGAAAGGCGGUAUAGACAGAAAAGAAAACUGUCUUUAACUAUUAUUGAGCAGGAAACUGAGAAUCCAAACAAAUGGAAGAUCAAGUGGUCCAUAACUAAAUGGAGCACUACAGAAGGAUAAAAUGAACCAGACUGGGCUGGAGGGAUUAUAUGCUGACAUAUGGAAAGUGGUGCAGAUGGAUUUCCUCAAGAUUAAA
rnacentral:lncRNA from 1 species